GGCAUCACUUUAAUAGUAUAGCUCCGGCGGUUUUGGAUGGGCGUGCGCCCUGAUUAGGUAGUUGGUGAGGGUAACGGCCCACCAAGCCUGCGAUCAGUAACUGGUGUGAGAGCACGACCAGUCACACGGGCACUGAGACACGGGCCCGACUCCUACGGGAGGCAGCAGUAAGGAAUAUUGGUCAAUGGACGCAAGUCUGAACCAGCCAUGCCGCGUGAAGGAUGAAGGUCCUCUGGAUUGUAAACUUCUUUUAUAUGGGACGAAACCUGGGAAUUCCUUCCCAAUUGACGGUACCAUAAGAAUAAGCACCGGCUAACUCCGUGCCAGCAGCCGCGGUAAUACGGAGGGUGCAAGCGUUAUCCGGAUUCACUGGGUUUAAAGGGUGCGUAGGAGGGUAGGUAAGUCAGUGGUGAAAUCUUCGAGCUUAACUCGGAAACUGCCGUUGAUACUAUCUAUCUUGAAUACCGUGGAGGUGAGCGGAAUAUGUCAUGUAGCGGUGAAAUGCUUAGAUAUGACAUAGAACACCAAUUGCGAAGGCAGCUCGCUACACGAAUAUUGACUCUGAGGCACGAAAGCGUGGGGAUCAAACAGGAUUAGAUACCCUGGUAGUCCACGCCCUAAACGAUGGAUACUCGACAUACGCGAUACACAGUGUGUGUCUGAGCGAAAGCAUUAAGUAUCCCACCUGGGAAGUACGACCGCAAGGUUGAAACUCAAAUGAAUUGACGG
rnacentral:rRNA from 1 species